GACGAACGCUGGCGGCGUGCCUAAUACAUGCAAGUCGAACGCACUCUCGUUUAGAUUGAAGGAGCUUGCCCCUGAUUGAUAAACAUUUGAGUGAGUGGCGGACGGGUGAGUAACACGUGGGUAACCUGCCCUAAAGUGGGGGAUAACAUUUGGAAACAGAUGCUAAUACCGCAUAAAACCUAACACCGCAUGGUGUAGGGUUGAAAGAUGGUUUCGGCUAAUCACUUUAGGAUGGACCCGCGGUGCAUUAGUUAGUUGGUGAGGUAAAGGCUCACCAAGACCGUGAUGCAUAGCCGACCUGAGAGGGUAAUCGGCCUACACCUGGGACUGAGACACGGCCCAGACUCCUACGGGAGGCAGCAGUAGGGAAUCUU
rnacentral:rRNA from 1 species